AAGCAUGCAGGUAUCAUUUUACAUGACACACAAUAAGCUUAAUAGUCAUUUGUCUGGAAAACAUUUCCACCGACAACGUCCAGGCCUCGACUAGUUAAUGUGUAAGCCGUGCAAGGAAGACUCGGGUGAGGUAAUCUGACAGCAGCGGCCAUUUUAGCCACACUGGACAUCGAUGCCGUCUUUUUUCCCCCCCAUCAUGCAGCGUUACGUGACGGACUGUACUUCACUCGCACGGCCAGCUAUAUUUAAACAGUCAAGGAAUUAAAGAUGACGACCACUUCUAAUCAGCGUGUGUUUGAGGUGAGGUUACCAUGGCGAUCCUGAACGGCUUGAGUGUAGAAGAAGGGACACACGGCAGGUCUGCGUUGCUGCCGGAGGCUGCAGAAGCUGCUGCGGCGGCGGCGCCUGCGGCUCACAAACAAGACGCCAAACAAAUGCAAUCAGAGCACUUUUUCCUCAGCAGAAGCGAGAACCUUAGCGUCAGUGUGGUUCUCCUAGUGGGAUGCUACUCUGCCAUUCUUCUUCCAGCAUAUUUCCCCCUGCAGAAACACUCUGUCAUUGAUGAGCAGGAUCCCAGACACCUGGACUUGUUGAACCGCUCGGCCUUCCACUUGUGGAGAGCGUGUCAGCCCCACUGGUGUGUGGACCGCCUGAAGUCUCUGCCCCGCUGCUCGGGCCUGAUGGACCUUCCAGUGUUUGUGCUGCGAGACGUCGGCUGGGACAUGCCUCCCCCCCUCGGCCUACGAGGGAGCGAAGAGCAUUUGGCUCAGGCCCUGGCCGCUCUGCCUCAGAGGGACCUGCCACCGUCGCUGAGGAGGAGUGGGCAGGGGUGCAGGCGUUGUGUGGUCGUGGGCAGUGGGGGGGUCCUGCUUGGGAGCCAUCUUGGAUCUCAUAUCGAUCAAUAUGAUGUUGUCAUCAGGAUGAACAACGCUCCAGUGCCGGGCUACGAGAGAGACGCUGGUUCUCACACCACCAUUCGCGUGACGUACCCAGAGGGAGCGCCCGGCUCUGCCGACGACUACAACAAGACCGACAUUGUUGCUCUCGCGGUCUUUAAGAGUCUGGACCUGGACUGGCUGACUUCUAUCAUCACUAAACAACCUCUGAGCUUGUGGUCCAAGCUGUGGUUCUGGAAGGAGGUGGUGAACUACAUUCCCCUGAGACCGGAGAACUUUCGGAUCCUCCACCCAGAGAUCAUUCGCAAGACUGCGGAAGUCCUGCAGAGAUACUCUGUGAAACAAGGAAAGAUGGUGCCCACACUGGGUGCUGGUGCUGUGGUGAUGGCUCUGCAGCUGUGUGACCACGUCAGCCUGGCAGGAUUUGGCUACGACAUGCAGCAUCCUCACUCUCCGCUCCACUACUACGAGACCAUACCAAUGGCUGCCAUGAAGGCUCAGGUGUGUUGACGCCAGUCUCUGAGAGAAGUCACAAAGCUGCAGCAGGACAGAAGCUCCGCUGAUCUCCGGUGGUGCAUGACGUCAGCGCUGAGAAGCUCUUCCUGAGGGAGCUGGUGGCUGCAGGAGCUGUGAAUGACCUCACGGGAGCGCUGUGACGUGGAUGGUCAACCCUGACACUAAGAUGAACUCAGUGUGCAGCCUUCUUCCAUCUUCUUGCCGUCAGCCUGUGGUGAUGCUAAUGUCCUACAUUCUCAGAGCGGGCCCGUGCAGCUGCUGGGAAGCAGCGAGGCCGACCUUUACCACACAACACCCUCGGGGAUUUGCUGGAGAAGUUAGUGAAUUUGACUACAAAAGGUUAGACAAGCUUUUGAGAUGGAUUUGACAGGAAGUUACAUCAUCAGUCCAUAUAAGGCAGGGGUCGGCAACCCACGGCUCCGGAGCCGCAUACUUGCCGACUCCCCCGAUUUUUCCGGGAGGCCUCCGGAUUUCAGUGCCUCUACCAGGGUAAGAUUUCUCCGAUUUUCAUCCUGACAAUAUUACAGAGGGCGUGCCAUGAUAGCAACGCCUUUAUCGUCCUCUAAAACAUGUCAUCGCGCUCGAUUUUACUUCAUGCUAUCUGCUAACGGCCUCUCAACCAUUUUAUCGUGACCGCUUUCAACCCCAUGCUAUCUGCGUGCCAGCCGGUCACAUGUAGUACGUGGCCUUUGUCGUAUACGUGUCAGUGACUGGAUGCCAUACUUGAUCAACAGCCAUACAGGUCACGCUGAAGGUUGUGAUAUAAACAACUUUAACACUCUUACUAAUAUGCGCCACACUGUCAACCCACACCAAACAAGGAUGAAAAACACAUUUUGGGAAAACAUCCGCACUGUAUCAAUCAAUCAAUCAAUGUUUACUUAUAUAGCCCUAAAUCACUAGUGUCUCAAAGGGCUGCACAAACCACCACGACAUCCUCGGUAGGCCCACAUAAGGGCAAGGAAAACUCACACCCAGUGGGAUGUCGGUGACAAUGAUGACUAUGAGAACCUUAGAGAGGAGGAAAGCAAUGGAUGUCGAACGGGUCUAACAUGAUACUGUGAAAGUUCAAUCCACAAUGGAUCCAACACAGUCGCGAGAGUCCAGUCCAAAGCGGAUCCAACACAGCAGCGAGAGUCCCGUUCACAGCGGAGCCAGCAGGAAACCAUCCCAAGCGGAGGCGGAUCAGCAGCGCAGAGAUGUCCCCAGCCGAUACACAGGCGAGCAGUACAUGGCCACCGGAUCGGACCGGACCCCCUCCACAAGGGAGAGUGGGACAUAGAAGAAAAAGAAAAGAAACAGCAGAUCAACUAGUCUAAAAAGGGAGUCUAUUUAAAGGCUAGAGUAUACAAAUGAGUUUUAAGGUGAGACUUAAAUGCUUCUACUGUAACACAACAUAAACAAAACAGAACAAAUACCCAGAAUCCCAUGCAUCCCUAACUCUUCCAGGCUACAUUUUACAAUCCUGCUACCACCAAACCCUGCCCACCUCUCCAACCCCGCCCACCUC